ACUCACCUGAACAUUGGCGACAGAGUUUUGCUAGCAAACAAGGGUGAAAGAGGGAAGAAAAAGUUAUCUGACAAGUGGAAUGCCACAGUUUACACAAUUGUCGACAGAAAUCUCCAAACUCACACAUACAAGUUGGAGGACAAAGAGGGUAACAAAAAAGUUGUGCACCGAAACCUGAUACUGGACAUCAGUUUUCUACCUGUGAGGACAGGCCAGGAUGAGAUCUCUGUUGUCGGGGUAGAGGAGGCACAAGCCCUGUCGGACUCCUUUGACGCUUUGGAAGAGGGAAGUUUGGGUGAUGGAGAUAAUGCAUGGGAGAUGAGUAAAACGAUGAACUGUGACAGCAAUGUCUCUCUGGAUCAAGAAGUGUCAGAACCAGGCUUAUCCAACCAGAGUCUUGCGACCCCUCACAGUGUAAUGGUACUCUCAGGUGAACAUACUGAUGGCCAUUCGGCAGAAGAAGAGUUACAUACAGUGAGUCAAGCGCAUUCUAUGGAUACAGAGGUUCUUGUAAAUUCAGAUGCAAACAUGGACAUGGGUCAUCCUCUAGAGAAUACUGACCAAGUUGUUAGGACUCGGGUGGGUCGGGUCAGCAAAAGGGUGAACAGACUCAUUGAAUCUAUGGUUCAAAGACCUUUUGAUUUUAGGGAUUUGGCAAAUUCUGUGAGCCAAAAAUCCCAGACCAUUCUUACUUGGUUUUGAGUUAAUCUGUUUAGAGUUCUGUUCAUGGACAGUUCAGCAAUGUAAUUUUAAUGGGAUAUUGUUUUCCUCUAAUUUGUAUCUUGUGUUUAUGGGUGUAAAGUUGGCACAGAAUUGUAUGGUGUAAAUGGCAUCAUAUUGAUCUGAGAAGGGCAGAGGCCUGAUCAACCGUAUGUCCCUUCGAAACCUGUUUUGUAGGUGGCUCUCAAGCCGAGUGUUAUACUAGGGUAUAGCAACCCUGUGCUAAAUGUUCAUCAAGUUUGUCAGUUUUCCAUGUAUUGGGAUCGUAAAAUUUAGACUGACUUGGAUUUUGGUGAAAUAUAGGAGGGGUGGAUGUAGCAAGUGUGCAAAAAAUGUUUAUAUUUCACUCCAAAUCCGUUUUGAUAAUUUAUUUUAUAUUUGUUUUUAAAUUGUAUUUUAUUUUGGCGGAGAAGCUUUUAUUUUCUUGUUUCCUGUUUUCGCGUCAUAUCCUGUGUGUUCCCGCUGCUUUCCUCAGUUCGCGCCGAGCCGCGCUGGGGAGAGGUGUAUGUGUGGGGAAGCCCGAACCCAAGAACUGCUGUCCUGAAUUUUCUUUUGUUUUAAACAGAAUAAACCUGCCCUACUGCUGCAAUACACCUAUGGUCCUCGUCUGCUGAUUCCUUUGACUGUUAUACACAACGCAGA